UGUCUGAUCACCACUUUCUCUCUUCCCCGCUCGCAGCCUGGAAGAACUUCUGACCACACAGUGCGACAGAUUCACCCCGGAAGAGAUCAAGAACAUGUGGGCAGCUUUUCCUCCAGAUGUGGCCGGGAACGUGGACUACAAGAACAUCUGCUACGUCAUUACACACGGUGAAGACAAAGAAGGGGAGUAAAUCCAUCAGGCCCCCCCAAAUUCCCCUGCCUCCCAUCCAGGGGGCUGGCGCUGUGGCGUCCCAUCCACCCACACACCCCAGGCUGGGAGCAUCUCCUCCACAUGACGCCAAAUCAGCUUCAGUUUUGGACCUCCAAACUGCAGACCCCACUUUUAUUUAUUGUGAUUUUGGGGUGGGGACCUGGGACCCCACAACUUUGCCCUUCCCCACCCUGCAGCCAGAGUCUUAAGAAACUGAUCAGGACCCGGGUCAAGAAUUGAGGGAAAAAAGUCUCAAUAAAGAUGAGGAAACCUGUUUUUAACUCU